UCAGAAAAAUAAGCUAUAAAUAAAAUGCAACCGUUUCUAAGCAUUUUAUUUUGGCUUAUGUAUAUUGAAGCAGGUAAAUGUGCUGUUCCGAUGGGUACGACAGAAUGGAAAAAAUACCAUUUGACUGCGACGAAUAAGCAUAAAGUGUUACAACACUUAGUAAUGGGUCCCUCAAAGAAUUUAACAGAGAAGCAAAUCGAGGCAAUGGUAGACAACUGCCAAGGAGUUCACAAAAAAUGUUUCCACGCCGAGGAGUGCUGCACGAUGCAAUGUGUGAAGAGUUACAAUAGAUGUGUGCACUUUUGGACUUGAUUAAAACGAGCUCAUAAAGUGAGUGAAAAAAUAAUAAUAAAAACUAAAGUAUUGAAUAAUUAUAUAUUAAAGUAAAAUAUAAAGUAUGAUAUAUA